GAAACGACUGGGGGCGCGUGGCGGAGCCAAAGACCGUACCAAAGUGGGAGGGGGGCUGAAUGACACUAGGUGAUACCAAGUCGGCUCCCUAAUGGGAGUCGGGGAACCUCACCUACAGCCCCGGGGCCGCUACCAAGAAGCCCGAGGGCGAGGGUAGCACCACGCGUGAAGGGAGGACUUAAAGCUUGGAGGGGUGACGUGGCUAGGGGACCACAACUCCCAGCGAGCCCCAUGGGGACUUGGGCGGGGCCAUCGGCCCCUGGAAACCCCUCCAGUCACAGCUACGCGCCCAGGCUCCACCCCCUGCAUCGCCUUCAAGCUUCUGGCUCUCCGCUAUUCGUUGAUUCACUCAACUAAAAUUAAGUGCGUAGUCACUAGUCAUUGUGUACGAUUUCUUCCUUGAGUCUUUUUUCGUCUAGUGUGAUAAUAUUCCAACCUUAGAGUGGUUAUGAGAAGUGAAUUUAAURAAGUGUCAGGAUCAGUGCUUGGCACAAUAACUCUCGUUACCUUUUAAGAAGAAAAAAAUCCUAUUAUUAAUACCUUGGCUGGUUCUAUGCUGGGCGACCUCAUCAGGACACAUGUGGGGAUGAAUGCCCAGGACUAUACACACAUGGAGAGAGCUAUACCAGGAUAUACUCCAGGGUGACCAAACUGGAAACUCAUGUCAAAAGUUCUCGGCGGACACAACAUCUUUGUUGGUAUGUG